rnacentral:rRNA from 1 species
ACUGAACGCUGGCGGCAGGCCUAACACAUGCAAGUCGUGUGAGCGGCGGACGGGUGAGUAAUGUAUGGGGCUCUGCCCGAUGGAGGGAGAUAAAUCCGGGAAACGGUGGCUAAUACCGCAUACCAUCAGAAGAACCCACAUGGGAUUAGUUAGUAGGUGAGGUAACGGCUUAUCUAGGCGUCGAUCCCUAGCUGGUCUGCGAGGAUGAUGAGCCACACUGGAACUGAGACACGGCCCAGACUCCUACGGGAGGCAGCAGUGGGGAAUAUUGCACAAUGGGCGCAAGCCUGAUGCAGCCAUGCCGCGUGUAUGAAGAAGGCCUUCGGGUUGUAAAGUACUUGCAGUCGGGAGGCGUUACCGACAGAAGAAGCACAGGCUAACUCCGUGCCAGCAGCCGCGGUAAUAC